UCCUCAGAGGGUAAGGAUGAUAAGAUGACAGAUCUUGACUGAAAGAGACCUCAGAGACUAUCUUGUCCAAAACCCUCACAUGACGGGUGGGAAAAGGGAAUAUCAGAAAGAUUGGAAGUUGUCUCAGGUCACACAGGAAGAAGUCUACACUAAGCAAGUUAUGAAUGAGACUGCUGGGAAGAUGGUUGGGGUGGCAGGAAGCCCGGUCUUCUGACCUGACAGGAAGAGUUAAAGUUCAACGAAGAAUAGAAGGUUAGAACUGGAGCAAAUCAGCUAGUCCCGACCCUAUUGGCCUGCUGAUGAGGAAACUGAGAUCUGCAAAAGCGAUUUAAUCAAAGGUGGCCCAGUGGAUGGAAUAACAGUCCGAAGUCCGGAGUUCAGAUCUAUCUGGAUAAAUCACUUAACACUUGUCUGCCUCAGUUUCUUUCAUUUCUAAUGGAAAUUAUUAAAGUACCUAUGUCCUCAGAUUGUGAUUGUCAUCUCCUUGAAGACAGGAAGUCAUUAUUCAUCAAGCCCAGAGUUGUGUCCAUGCUCUCUUUUUCAUGUUGCAUUUCCCCAUUGGAAAGAAAGAUCUUUGAGGGCUGAGACUGGCUUCCUUUUUGCUUAUUUUGAUUCCAAGUGACUGGUACACAAUAAACA